rnacentral:hammerhead_ribozyme from 1 species
GCUGAAGAGUCCCAGAAUAGAACGAAACGGCCGUCC